AAAAUUACCUGGCAGAGGAGAUACAUGAUCACGAAGGUGGUUUUCCCAGGGUGAGGCUCAUCCAUUGCACUCCGGAUCUGCUGACCCCUGUGAUUUCCCCAAAUGUGGGAAACUCGACUGCAUAAUUUGUGGU
rnacentral:snRNA from 1 species